rnacentral:rRNA from 1 species
CAGCCGCCGCGGUAAUACGUAGGGUCCGAGCGUUGUCCGGAAUUACUGGGCGUAAAGAGCUCGUAGGUGGUUUGUCGCGUUGUUCGUGAAAACUCACAGCUUAACUGUGGGCGUGCGGGCGAUACGGGCAGACUAGAGUACUGCAGGGGAGACUGGAAUUCCUGGUGUAGCGGUGGAAUGCGCAGAUAUCAGGAGGAACACCGGUGGCGAAGGCGGGUCUCUGGGCAGUAACUGACGCUGAGGAGCGAAAGCGUGGGGAGCGAACAGGAUUAGAUACCCCUGUAGUCCCUGUCUCUUAUAA